CCGAGUUGUAAUUUGUAGAGGAUGCUUUUAGGCAGCCACCGGUCUAAGUUCCUUGGAACAGGACGUCAUAGAGGGUGAGAAUCCCGUAUGUGACCGGAAAGGCACCUUCUGUAAAGCUCCUUCGACGAGUCGAGUUGUUUGGGAAUGCAGCUCUAAAUGGGAGGUAAAUUUCUUCUAAAGCUAAAUACCGGCGAGAGACCGAUAGCGCACAAGUAGAGUGAUCGAAAGAUGAAAAGCACUUUGGAAAGAGAGUUAAAAAGCACGUGAAAUUGUUGAAAGGGAAGCGCUUGCAAUCAGACUUGUCCUUGAGUGUUCCGCCGGUCUUCUGACCGGUCUACUCAUUCUUGGACAGGCCAGCAUCACUUUCGGCGGCCGGAUAA
rnacentral:rRNA from 1 species